rnacentral:pre_miRNA from 1 species
CAGUCGGCCAAAGUGCUGGACCACGCUGGACAAGGUUGUAUUGGAGACCACCUUGUCCAGCGCGUGGUCCAGCACUUUGGCUGUCUGCC